AAAAAGGUAAGCUAAUUAAGCUACUGGGUUCAUACCCCACUUAUAAAGGUCCGACCCCUUUCCUUUUUA
rnacentral:tRNA from 1 species